rnacentral:tRNA from 1 species
GAUUGUAUAGUUUAGUGGUUAUCACCCUCGGUUUUGAUCCGAACAUCCCCGUUUCGUAUCCGGGCGUGACCU